UUGCUAUGGCAACAUGUACACUAACAUUGGAAUGAUACAGUGAAGAUUGGCAUGGCCCUUGCUCAAGGAUGACACACAAAUUCGUGAAGUAUUCCAUAUUAAA